UGUUUUAAGAUAGCCUAAGGUGUUUUAUCGCUUAAUAGGGAACCCCGUGAAAAUCGGGGACGGGCCCGCCGCUGUAAUCGGGGACGAACGCCGCUUGAAACCACUGACGGAGAAAAUGCAAAGUGCAAAGUGCAAAGUUGAUUUUGCACUUUUAACUUUACAUUUUGCACUGUAUCUGUCGGGAAGGUCGGUCAGUAGGAUGAACCGAGAGUCAGAAGACCUGCCUGAACUUCAUAAAAAAA
rnacentral:ncRNA from 2 species